rnacentral:rRNA from 1 species
AUCCUGGCUCAGGAUGAACGCUAGCGACAGGCCUAACACAUGCAAGUCGAGGGGCAGCGGGAGGUAGCAAUACCUUUGCCGUCGACCGGCGCACGGGUGAGUAACGCGUAUCCAACCUGCCCAUCACUUGGGGAUAACCUUGCGAAAGUAAGACUAAUACCCAAUGACGUCUCUAGAAGACAUCUGAAGGAGAUUAAAGAUUUAUCGGUGAUGGAUGGGGAUGCGUCUGAUUAGCUUGUUGGCGGGGUAACGGCCCACCAAGGCGACGAUCAGUAGGGGUUCUGAGAGGAAGGCCCCCCACAUUGGAACUGAGACACGGUCCAGACUCCUACGGGAGGCAGCAGUGAGGAAUAUUGGUCAAUGGACGAGAGUCUGAACCAGCCAAGUAGCGUGCAGGAUGACGGCCCUAUGGGUUGUAAACUGCUUUUAUAAGGGAAUAAAGUGAGUCUCGUGAGACUUUUUGCAUGUACCUUAUGAAUAAGGACCGGCUAAUUCCGUG